rnacentral:misc_RNA from 1 species
GGCUUGAGAAGUUCAGUCCUUGGGAGGUUGUCAGGCAUGACAUAGUAUUUCCUGUUCAAUUCUUUGGCCAUGUUGAAGUCUCUCCUUCAGGACCUCGAAAAUGGGUUGGAGGAGAGACUAUUCACGCACAAGCUUAUGAUGUACCGAUUCCCGGUUAUAAAACAAAAAAUACUAUUAGUCUCCGCCUUUGGGAAGCGAAGGCCACGGCUGAAGAUUUUGACUUGUUCCAGUUCAACGAAGGUCAUUAUGAGUCUGCUUCCCAACUUCAUUCUAAAGCUCAACAGAUAUGUGCUGUUUUGUACCCUGGCGAUGCAACAGAAAGUGGAAAGAUACUUCGAUUGAAGCAACAAUACUUCCUUUGUAGUGCUUCACUUCAGGAUAUUAUCCUUAGGUUUAAGGAGAGGAGAGACGCCAAAGGGGAAUGGAAGUGGUCUGAAUUCUCUGAUAAGGUUGCAGUUCAACUAAAUGAUACACAUCCAACACUUGCAAUACCAGAACUCAUGCGAUUACUGAUGGAUGACGAAGGGCUUGGUUGGGAUGAAGCUUGGGAUGUGACA